rnacentral:rRNA from 1 species
AUUGAACGCUGGCGGAAUGCUUUACACAUGCAAGUCGAACGGUAGAGGGGGCAACCCCUUGAGAGUGGCGAACGGGUGAGUAAUAUAUCGGAACGUGCCCAGUCGUGGGGAUAACGUAGCGAAAGUUACGCUAAUACCGCAUACGAUCUAAGGAUGAAAGCGGGGGAUCGCAAGACCUCGCGCGAUUGGAGCGGCCGAUAUCAGAUUAGGUAGUUGGUGAGGUAAAGGCUCACCAAGCCAACGAUCUGUAGCUGGUCUGAGAGGACGACCAGCCACACUGGAACUGAGACACGGUCCAGACUCCUACGGGAGGCAGCAGUGGGGAAUUUUGGACAAUGGGCGCAAGCCUGAUCCAGCAAUGCCGC